UACGUAGGUGGCAAGCGUUAUCCGGAAUUAUUGGGCGUAAAGAGCGCGCAGGUGGUUGAUUAAGUCUGAUGUGAAAGCCCACGGCUUAACCGUGGAGGGUCAUUGGAAACUGGUCGACUUGAGUGCAGAAGAGGGAAGUGGAAUUCCAUGUGUAGCGGUGAAAUGCGUAGAGAUAUGGAGGAACACCAGUGGCGAAGGCGGCUUCCUGGUCUGUAACUGACACUGAGGCGCGAAAGCGUGGGGAGCAAACAGGAUUAGAUACCCG
rnacentral:rRNA from 1 species